rnacentral:rRNA from 1 species
AACGAACGCUGGCGGCAGGCCUAACACAUGCAAGUCGAGCGCGCCCUUCGGGGUGAGCGGCGGACGGGUGGGUAACGCGUGGGAACGUGCCCUUUUCUACGGAAUAGCCUCGGGAAACUGAGAGUAAUACCGUAUACGCCCUUAGGGGGUAAGAUUUAUCGGAAAAGGAUCGGCCCGCGUUGGAUUAGGUAGUUGGUGGUGUAAUGGCCUGCCAAGCCGACGAUCCAUAGCUGGUUGGGGAGGAUGAUCAGCCACACUGGGACUGCGACACGGCCCAGACUCCUACGGGACGCAGCAGUGGGUAAUCUUAUGCGAGGGAGGCAACUCUGGUCUAGCCAUGCCCCGUGAGUGAUGAAUGCCUUAGGGUUGUAAAUCCCUUUCAGCUGGGAAGUGAAUGACGGUACCAGCAGAAGAAGCCCCGGCUAACUCCGUG